rnacentral:misc_RNA from 1 species
GAUGAAGAACGUAGCGAAAUGCGAUAAGUAAUGUGAAUUGCAGAAUUCAGUGAAUCAUCGAAUCUUUGAACGCACAUUGCGCCCGCCAGUAUUCUGGCGGGCAUGCCUGUUCGAGCGUCAUUUCAACCAUCAAGCCCCGGGCUUGUGUUGGGGACCUGCGGCUGCCGCAGGCCCUGAAAAGCAGUGGCGGGCUCGCUGUCACACCGAGCGUAGUAGCAUACAUCUCGCUCUGGGCGUGCUGCGGGUUCCGGCCGUUAAACCACCUUUUAACCCAAGGUUGAACUCGGAUCAGGUAGGAAGACCCGCUGAACUUAAGCAUAUCAAUAAGCGGAGGA